rnacentral:rRNA from 1 species
GACGAACGCUGGCGGCGUGCUUAACACAUGCAAGUCGAACGGAAAGGCCCUGCUUUUGUGGGGUGCUCGAGUGGCGAACGGGUGAGUAACACGUGAGUAACCUGCCCUUGACUUUGGGAUAACUUCAGGAAACUGGGGCUAAUACCGGAUAGGAGCUCCUGCUGCAUGGUGGGGGUUGGAAAGUUUCGGCGGUUGGGGAUGGACUCGCGGCUUAUCAGCUUGUUGGUGGGGUAGUGGCUUACCAAGGCUUUGACGGGUAGCCGGCCUGAGAGGGUGACCGGCCCAAUGGGGAUGGGGGACCGGCCCGGCCCCCUACGGGGGGAAGCGGGGGGGAAUUUUGCAAAAUGGGCGGAAGCCUGAUGCAGCAACGCGGGGUGGGGGAUGACGGCCUUCGGGUUGUAAACCGCUUUCGCCUGUGACGAAGCGUGAGUGACGGGAAUGGGGAAAGAAGCACCGGCUAACUACGU